rnacentral:rRNA from 1 species
CCUACGGGAGGCAGCAGUGGGGAAUUUUGGACAAUGGGCGCAAGCCUGAUCCAGCAAUGCCGCGUGAGUGAAGAAGGCCUUCGGGUUGUAAAGCUCUUUUGUCAGGGAAGAAACGGGUCUUUCUAAUACAGAGGCCUAAUGACGGUACCUGAAGAAUAAGCACCGGCUAACUACGUGCCAGCAGCCGCGGUAAUACGUAGGGUGCAAGCGUUAAUCGGAAUUACUGGGCGUAAAGCGUGCGCAGGCGGUUUUGUAAGUUUGCCGUGAAAUCCCCGGGCUCAACCUGGGAAUGGCGAUGAAGACUGCAAGGCUAGAGUUUGGCAGAGGGGGGUAGAAUUCCACGUGUAGCAGUGAAAUGCGUAGAUAUGUGGAGGAACACCGAUGGCGAAGGCAGCCCCCUGGGUCAAAACUGACGCUCAUGCACGAAAGCGUGGGGAGCAAACAGGAUUAGAUACCCUGGUAGUCCACGCCCUAAACGAUGUCUACUAUUGUCGGGUCUUAAUUGACUUGGUAACGCAGCUAACGCGUGAAGUAGACCGCCUGGGGAGUACGGUCGCAAGAUUAAAACUUAAAUUGUAGUUAGAGNGNGNGAGNGCGAGACGACGACGAGGAGAGG